rnacentral:rRNA from 1 species
UACGAAGGGGGCUAGCGUUGUUCGGAUUUACUGGGCGUAAAGCGCACGUAGGCGGAUUGUUAAGUCAGGGGUGAAAUCCCAGAGCUCAACUCUGGAACUGCCUUUGAUACUGGCGAUCUCGAGUCCGGGAGAGGUGAGUGGAACUGCGAGUGUAGAGGUGAAAUUCGUAGAUAUUCGCAAGAACACCAGUGGCGAAGGCGGCUCACUGGCCCGGUACUGACGCUGAGGUGCGAAAGCGUGGGGAGCAAACAGG